rnacentral:lncRNA from 1 species
AGAAUGGUGAAAAUGAGAAAGAAUCAUGCUCAAUAUUUCUAAGUUUUGCUUCUUUUAGAAUUGGAUUUUUAUGCUUUUCUUAAUAGCCAGAACAUAGUUUAAAAAUUAUCACUGUCAUGUUAAAGAUUAAAGAAUAUUUUAAAAAAGAAUAAAGAAUAACAAAGUCAACUAAAGAGUAGAUGAUGCGCUGAGACAGGCAACACAAUCUGAGGACUGAGACACGCUCCAGUCAGUAAACAAAUGUUAAAUACUUGCACCUCUGGGUGCACACAUGACUUAGUCCUUGUGGAAGGUGCUAACUCGGUUAAACCCCGUCUCUACUAAAAAUACAAAAAAAUUAGCCGGGCAUGGUGGCGUGCUCCUGUAGUCCCAGCUACUCAGGAGGCUGAGGCAGGAGAAUGAUGUGAACCUGGGAGGCGGAGCUUGCAGUCAGCCGAGAUGGCACCACUGCACUCCAGCCUGGGCUGACAGAGCAAGACCACGUCUCAAAAAAAAAAAAAAUAUAUAUAUAUAUAUAUACACAUAUGUGUAUAUAUAUAUAUAUGUAUAUAUAUGUGUAUAUAUAUAUAUGUAUAUAUAUGUGUAUAUAUAUAUAUGUUUGAUUCUUUGUUUUCAAUUCCCCUGGGUACAUACCCAGAUAUGAAAUUGCUGAAUCAUAUGGUAAAUUUGUUUAAUUUUUCCAAAAGCCACCAUACUGUAUGCCACGGUAGAUGUAUCACUUUACUCUCACACCAGUAAUGCAAACAUUCCCAAUUUUCUCCAUAUUCUUGCCAACACUUAUUUUCUGUUUUAAUUAAUUUGUUUGUUUUUAGUAACAGCCAUCCUAAUGGGUAUGAAGUGGUAUCUUAUUAUGGCCUUGACUUUCAUGAAUUUCUAAGGACUAUUUAUAUACUAAGGAUAACAGCCAUUGGCUUUUUCUUCUGAUUCAUCUCUGUCUUGUCUGUCUCUGUUCUCACUGGUUCUUCAGUUCUCCUCUCUGCUCAGCCUCUUCAGCUCUACUGCUUCCUGGCUCAUUGGGUCUCAUCUUGAUCGUAAAACAGCAAUAAAUAUGAUAUUCAUAAUCCAAAAUGAACCUCAUCAACCAUUUACAAAAAACACCCAGUAUAUUUAAUGGAGUUGUAUUAAUACAUUGCUGUGAAGAUAAUGGCUCCAGACUGCUUAUUUUAAUGAAGGGAUUGCCACUGGGUAGACAUUUAGUCUUACUUUCAUAAGCCCACUGAGAAGAUAGAAUAUUUUAGCCUUUUUCAUCCUUACAUGGAAUAAAAAAUAGUCAUAAACCUCCACUCUGAAAGGUGUUGGAUAUGAUUUAUUUGGAUAAUCAAAUUGUGCAUAUCUUCCCAUGUUGCUCUAUGAAGCACAAGCUAUUCUGCUCAUUCUGACCUUCCAUCUUUCCAGCUGAUCGGGUCUGCAGGCGAGAGGGUGACAGAGUGUAGGACAUCCCUUCCACUGAGGAAUGUUCCAUCUGAACAGCUCUGAGCUCUCCAUAAACUCUCCAGAGAGCCUGUUUUCAUAGGCUCACGACAUUUUGACAAAACCUCUGCUUACACACAGUAAAAAGUAUCAACUGCAGAGCUCCCCAAAACAUUCUAGGGUAUACUAUAAGGGUUCAAGAAUCCUUUGGAAUUGGGCUAAUGACAAGAACUUGGCUCUUCUUUUCCAGAAGUAUGAAGGCGGGUGCUUGAAAGGCAAAAAACUAUUUGAGUAUUUUGGAAAAACUUUCCAUAGUCUACAGUGAAUAUGUUCUCUGGGACACUGUUUUGUGUUGACCAAGUCUUUGCGCAGUUAUUUUUCUGUAUUUGUCUGACCCCAUGAUCUUCCUAGAAUGUCAUCACAUAACCAUACCAAAAUUAUUCUGAAGGGAAAACUAACAAUUAGUAAUUUUCAGAUGUCCAUUUAUUUAUGGAAAAAUAAAAUGGAAAAAUAGCCAUAAAUAAAUAGACACACAUUUGCAUUAUAGUUUCAGAUGGUGGAAGUGAUAGAGAGUGACAUGUGAGUUUGAUAUGAUUCAUUUCCAUAUUUUGGUGAAUUAACCCUGAAGAAAGAACAGAGAUUUGGAACAAAAUUUACAAACAUGUUAGUAAACAGAGAAAUAGAAAAUCAAAAGUAAGAGAAAAAAUAUGUUUAUGCACACCAACAUUAUCUUGCUUAUUAGGAACCACAUCAGACUUAGAAAUCAUUCUUUUUUCCUCAAUUUCUUCAAUAACUGUACCCAAAACCUCCACAGACAUGCUGUCUCUACCUCCAAACUCAUGCUCCCUUCACAUACUUCUCACCAUCUUUCCUGCAAUACUGAAGUCCAAAGUGCCAUCAUUUCUAGCCUGAAUGAUUGCAGUAACCUCCCAACUUGUCUACCUGUUUCUCACUUGCUGUCUGCAAAUCAGAAUAACCUUCUUAAUAUAGGAUAUGGUUUGGGUCUGUGUCCCCACCAAAUCUCAUCUCAAGUUGUAAUUCUCACAUGUCAGGGAAGGGGCCUGGUGGGAAGUGAUUGGAUCAUGAAUGUUGAUUUCCCCCUUGUUGUUCUUGUGAUAGCGAUUUCUCAUGAGAUCUGUUUGUUUUAAAAGUGUGUGGCACUUCUUCCGUUGCUCUCUCUCUCCCCACCCCUCCAAUUCAAUGCACCUUUCCUUUCUUUUCAAGACCUCAGCUGAAACUAUCUUGCUUAUUUCUUUUCUUAUUAUUUUGCAUGUCUUCACAUUAAAAAUAGAAGCCCUAGAUCAACUGUGCUGCUUUUAACUGGAUUCUUAACAAGCAGAGUAGUACUUGAUGUAUAGUAGAUAAUCAACAAACAAUUGUUGAAUGAAUAAAUAAGUGAAUUCAGAACUGGUUCAGGAUUCAGAAAGGUUCCGCUUGUAGAGUCUCAGUGCCUAAAGAGGAAUGAGAGCAGACAAAUCACUUAAACAUAAUUGCCAUUCAUUCUUGGAAAUAAAUCGGCUAACACACUUGCUUUCUUCCUUGAUGUCAGAGUUCAAGGUCUUAUAUAUAUUAGAACAGGAGGAUUGCUCUAGGCUCAUUUGCAGUUCGUGCUCCAAGGCACAGCCUGUAAUUUCAGCAUCACAGGAGAUAUUCCCACCUGCCUUUCUCCCACACAUUUUUCUGUAGAGUUGAUUAGAGAAGAGCAUCAGUGUGUCCUUGAUUUUGUUGUACCCUCUACUCCUGCAGAGACCCCUUUCUGGGAACAGAGUGGGAGAGGGUGGAGAAAGAAUAAGCCCCGAGUUUUACCUCUUAAGCCUUAUCUUUCCGUCAUGGCAAAGACUAAGGAUUUUUUUUUUCAUUUUUUUCCUUUUUCUCCCUAAAAUGAGCAUAGUUCCUGUGAUCCAGUAGACAGACAUCCAGACACAGACACAAGGAUGCAAAUAAUUGAGUGGGUUGUUGAACAAAAGACUCAAAAGAGUGAUUUCUAUAGCAUUGACCAUUCUAUCAAUCAGUCUAGGGGGAAACGCCAUACAUAGGGUGUUGUCACAGAUGGAGCUCUUAUUUAAUUCUAAUUUCUGCUCCCUGUCAUUCUGAUACCUAUAUAUUUUUUUUGCUGCUCUGUAUCUUCUCUUUUUUUUUUUUUUUUUUUUUUUUUGAGACGGAGUCUCACUCUGUGGCCCUGGCUGGUGUGCAGUUGGGACAUCUCGGCUCACUGCAAGCUCCGCCUCCCGGGUUCACGCCAUUCUCCUGCCUCAGCCUCCUGAGUAGCUGGGACUACAGGCGCCCGCCACCACGCCCGGCUAAUUUUUUGUAUUUUUAGUAGAGACGGGGUUUCACCGUGUUAGCCAGGAUGGUCUCAAUCUCCUGACCUCGUGAUCCACCCGCCUCGGCCUCCCAAAGUGCUGGAAUUACAGGCGUGAGCCACCGUGCCUGGCCUCUGCUCUGUAUCUUUUAAUAUGAUACUGGCUGGAAAAUCAGAUCAUCAAGAUUAUUUGUUACAAAUAUUCCUUUGUUGGCUACUAUGUGCUAUUGAGGAUAAAUGCAAAACACAAGAUAUUAAAAUAAAUCUCUUUGCGGCACUUGUGUGGACUCGUUGCACUUGAGCAUAAAGUAUGUGGAACUUGUCUUUGGAGACGGAGCAGACAAAUUGUUCUAUGGAUAAGGUUAAUGACCUUGAGAAAUUUCGUAGCAUUUAUUUUUACUGCUGAGAGUUUUUGUUUGGUUUAUUUCUUCAUUCUCUUUUUUAUUCCAGAUGAAAAUUGUUGUCAAGUUGCUGAUCCCUAGUAAUCACAGGAAUAGCCGGCAUGUUAACAAUACCAAACAAACUCUGAAACAUCAGUGGCUCAAUAGACCACAGCUUUAUUUCUCUUUUGUAUCACAGUCUGAUGAAGGGCAGUGCUUCUCCUGUGGGCUCUUUCUCAGCAGAAGAGUCCCACAAAGCUUCCUUUUGCUGUUAGGCCAUCUGGAACCAGUGCAGUGAGGAAGGCUAAACCUGAAAGUGGCUUUUGACACUUUUACUUCACACUGGCCUGACUCUGGUCUUAAGGGCCCAACCUAAAAUGAAGGGGUGCUGGGAAGCAAAGAGUCCAUGGUGAUUUAGUGAGCACUAGCAGUAACUACCACUGUAGAUAUUGCAAAAUUCCCUUCAGAAGAGUUAUUAAGCAUGCACAUUGCAAACUGUAGUAUACCAGACCAGAUUCUAACAGGAGGAAGGUAGAAAAUUAAAAGGGGGAAGAAGGAACUCCUAUGUCAGCCUCUGACUGUAAAGAGUGUGCAUGUUAGGCAGGUCGUAUAAUGCCUCCAGAUUCCAGUUUUCUCAUCUGUAAGGGCAAGACGACAGACUGAAUGAGCUGUAGGGUCCAUUUUGGCUUCAAAAUUCUUCUUCCUAGGAAAUGGCAGUUUAAUUGGAAAUCUAAGAUUUUAAACAAAAUGGUCUCAUGGCUCCCACAGUCAAAUCACAAUGAGGAUGUGUAAACACUAACAGCAUUUCACACUCAAAUGUUUCAUGAUGUAUGUUCCCAGAGCUUGAACUUCUUUUACUCUUCAUUGCACAUUUGAUGAUAUUAGUCACUUUGAAUACGUGAAGCUCCUUUUAAGUAUGUCUAAGCUAGAGCAAGCAGAGCUCAGCAAAGUUUGUGGGUUUUUUUGAGAAUAAGGUAGCAGUAUUGCAAAUAUUUUAUGUUUUGCAAUACAUAAAACCUCUGUUGCAAAUACUCAUCUCUGCAGAUUUUGAGCAAAAGUAUCCAUGGAAAAUAUGUUAAUAAAUGGUCAUGGCUGUGUUUCAAUACAACUUUAUUUAUAAAAACAGAGUGAUGGACCAGAUUUGGACCAAGGGACAUAAUUUGCAGACCCCCAAUCUAGAGUCUAGGAUCUUGAACUUUUCAAUUCUAUUUUAGCAUGUCUAUUUUAUUGAACACAUAAAGUCCUCUAAUCUAGCUUUAUAUAGUUACUUUAUUUUUACUUGAGAAAUAAUUGCGUAUAUCAUGUACAACAUGAUGUUUCCUUUCCUUCCCUUCCCCUUCUCCUUCCCUUUCCCCUUCCCCUUCCCCUUCUCCUUCCCUUUCCCCUUUCCCUUCCCCUUUCCUUUCCCUUCUCUUCCCUUCCCUCCUUCCUUUCUUUCCUUCCUUCCUUCUGAUAGAGUUUCACCCUGUUGCCCGGGCUGGAGUGCAGUGGUGCAAUCUUGGCUCACUGCGACCUUCCCCUGCCAGGUUGGAGUGAAUCUCCUGCCUCAGCCUCCCAAGUAGCUGGGAUUACAGGCAUGCGCCACCACACCUGGCUAAUGAUGUUUUAAAAUAGGUAUACAUUGUGGAAUGGCUAAGUUAAGCUAAGUAGGAUAUGCAUAACCUUGCAUACUUACCAUUAUUUUGUGGUAGAAACACAAAAUCUAUCUUUUAGCUAU